CAAAUAUGAAAAAUCAAAACGGAAUGCUUAUGGCUGUUCGUGUAUAGGCAUAUUUUCAUAAUAGUGUAAGGUCUAUGGUCUAUGCUUAUUUUAUUUAAUAUGAAAAUCAUACAUAACACGCAGUCCAUAUUUUAAGUUCAAUGAAUGCAAUAAGAAACGAAAAUGUGAUACACCAAUGAAAAUAAUAUUUGUUUGUGGAAAUUUAAAUAAAAUGAUCAAACAAUAAUAACACAUCGCAAUACUGCCCUCAACAUUUAACUCAGCCAUAUUGUUGCAGUUGAUCUACAGUAAAAAUAAAAGAUUUUUAACACGGUCUAAGAAGAUCUUCUAUAAUAGAGGUUUAUAGUUUAGUUAAAUCACUAAUAAAACGGUUUUUAUCAAUACCUGCCUACUAAUUUUGUUUAUAGAAUAAACGACACAGUUACCAACAGAUUUAUAAUACAUUUAUUAUAAGUUUAUUAUAUAUAAAUCUGUGUAGUUACUAGCAGAAAAUAUAGAUGGCCAAUGGAGAUUUUUAGCAGUAAACCACUAACCAGGUACUUUAAAGAGAUGAUUUUUCGAUUUUCUCAUCAAAUUUGAAAAACCGAAAAAAAAAACAGGAAAUUAUAAAAAAUGUAAGUAGGUAUUAGUUAAAAUAUAUUAUGGUCUUUUUUUUCUGUGCGCAACUUUUCAACCAGCAAUUUAGCUCCAAC